rnacentral:lncRNA from 1 species
AAGAACUUACUGAUUGAAGUUGUGGUCAUCUGCUGAUAAGCCGGCGAGCGAGAAGCACUCAGACACAAAGGAACCCAUUGAAACGUGUAUGUCUUCUCAAGAUGCUGUUUGUUUUCCUGUAGGAAGACUUCAUCCUCUCCACUCUCAUCAAGACGCACAGGGGAAAAUGUCCCCGAGCUAGUGCCAGGCCUCUCUGAAGGAGCUUUCCAGGAUUCAUCCCAAACAUUCUCAGUUAAACUACUUGAAUUACACAAACCAGCUGAUGAGAUGAGAUGGCGUGGCACUUUGGAAGACUCUUUGCUGUCAGGAGAGGCUGUUCUUUGCAGUGAUGUCUCAAAAUCUAUAGGAUGCUGGGUCUCUCUCUUGUCUCCUCCUGUCCACAGUAUUUCCACUCCUUGAAAUUCCACAUGUUUGACCCGGCCUGGGCGUCCCAUGGAGCUGCUUCGAUCACAUCCCCCUGGGUGCUCUCUCCCAAGAGCAGACCUCUGCUCUUUCAAGAAACCAACACUGCCUGCAGAGUGGCAGGUCACUGCUGAGCUCCCGAGGGAGGCCAAAGGACAAGAUGGCUCCUGCACACAGACAGCCCCUUUCCUCCCAUUAUUCAUUAUCUGGGAAAUCUCUGCCUGAGUGUCUCCAGUUAACAGCGCGGUGAGAUCUUUCUGGAUGCUCAAAUAAAAACUUUCCUCCGUUGUUACUUCAGCUGAAAGAGGUAUUUCUGGUAAAUUUUUUUGGCCAGCAGGGAGCGUUUUGUUGACUCUCUGUGUUUUACGACUGGCAGUGUCCAGCUCUUUUUCCACCUGCUGAACUGAAAAACUAGAAACAGCAUCUUGGUCCAGUACCUUUGUAGCCUGUAAUGUUCCGGAAAUGAUUCUGGCUUCUGUGGCUUUCAGAGCUGAAAUCAAAGAGUCAAUGGGCUGUAAACUUUGUUCCUUGAGAUGACUUUGAGAGGGGGCCUCUCUGACAUCUUUUGGUCCUUCUGUAACACUGUCGAGCCCAGAGUGGCAGCCAGUAAGAGGCUGGACACCCUGCUGCUCUUGUGGGUGGCAUGGCAGAGCCUCACCAUCAAAUUCCAGAGAAGCCCUUAGGCCUUCUCCACCUUCCUCCAUGGUCCCAUAUUCUGGAAAUUCAUUUGUGACAUUUGGUGGGAGUAAAGUGCUUCCUCCAUGAUCACCUGUG